rnacentral:rRNA from 1 species
UACAGAGGUCUCAAGCGUUGUUCGGAUUCAUUGGGCGUAAAGGGUGCGUAGGUGGCAAAGUAAGUUGGAUGUGAAAUCCUGGGGCUUAACCUCAGAAUUGCAUUCAAUACUGCUUAGCUAGAGAGCUGUAGAGGAGACUGGAAUUUACGGUGUAGCAGUGAAAUGCGUAGAUAUCGUAAGGAACGCCAGUGGCGAAAGCGAGUCUCUGGGCAGCAUCUGACACUGAGGCACGAAGGCCAGGGGAGCAAACGGG